rnacentral:lncRNA from 1 species
AUAUGUAAUUCAUUACAUAUAAUAUGUAUUUUAUAUAUAUAAUAAACUGAGUAGAGUCUAUAUGUUUCCCAUCUCUUAAUCUACAGCCUCAAUUAAGAAUUAUUUAAUAGAGGCCAGGUGCGAUGGCUCAUGCCUGUACCCAGACUUUGGGAGGCUGAGGCAGGCGGAUCACCUGAGGGCAGGAGUUUGAGACAAGCCAGGCUAACAUGAUGAAACCCCCGUCUCUACUAAAAGUCCAAAAAUUAGUUGGGUGUGGUGGUGGGCACCUAUAAUUCCAGCUACUUGGGAGGCUGAGGAAGAAGAAUUGUUUGAGCCUGGGAGGUGCAGGUUACAGUGAGCUGAGAUCGCGCGACUGUACUCUGGCCUGGAUGACAGAGUGAAACUCUGUCUCAAAAAAAAAAAAAAGAUGUGUGGCUAAUUUUUUGUAUUUUUAGUAGAGACGGGGUUUCACUAUGUUGGCCAGGCUGGUCUUGAACUUCUGACCUCGUGAUCCACCCGCCUCAGCCUUUGGAAGUGCUGGGGUUACAGGCAUGAGCCACCGUGCCAGGCUGUGUGCAGUGAAUUUAAAACAAUAAUAAAAUGGACUAAGAGUGAGUUUGCUUUUUAAUUAUUACUAUGCACUGGCAAUUCUUAACAAUAUCAGUGAUAAAAUACACCCCUCUCCCCAGUAAAUAAUUUGCUAAUCUAAGUUCUAAACAACUGCUGUGACUACUGUUGAGCUGAACUGGCUGUUCCCACUGCCCUGCCCUUAGUAGGCCAACGACGGGAGUAGUAGCUGUCAUUAUAGGUGUAGGUAUUUGUAGGUAUGUGCAUUGUAUCAGAGACUGAACUUGGUCCUUUUUGUACAUAAGUUUCAUUUUUCCUAAGAUAUCUCUGUCACCCAGGCAGGAGUGCAGUGACACAAUCAUGGUUCACUACAGCCUUGCCUCCACCUCGCUGGGUUCAAGACAUCCUUCCACUUCAGCCUCCAGACUAGCUGGGACUACAGGCUCCCGCCACCAAGCCCAGCUAAGUUGUGCAUUUUUUGUGGAGACAGGGGUUUCAUUCACCAUGUUGCCCAGGCUGGUCUCAAACUCCUGGGCUCAGGAGAUCACCUGCCUCUGCCUCCCAAACUGCUGGGAUUACAGGUGUGAGCCACUAUGCCUGGGCAGUAUAUAAGUCUUUCUUACACCUCAGAGCUGUAUGCAUUAGGUAUUAUCAUUCCCAUUUUACAGACGAGAAAAUUGAGGGUUGUAGAAGUUAAGGGACUUGCUCAAAUUCACUCAGCUAGUAAAGAUAAGAGGGAGGGAGGAUGUAUCUAAGUCUCCUGAGUCAAAGCCCACUUUUCCACUGGGCUUUUUAGUCCCUGGGUACCAACUGCCACACAGAAGGCCCUUGAUAUGUAUUCGCUGAAUAAAAGGGUAAGUGGAUGAAAACUUGAUCGUUUUUUAAAUUAGUUACUUUUUUAUUUUUUAAAAUGUCAAUUUUUAUUUUAGAUUUGGGGUACAUGUGCAGGUUUGUUACAUGCAUAUAACAAACUCAUUAAAAGAUGUAGUUGCACUAUUGAUAGUAAGUAUAAAUUGGAGACAACCCAAAUACCUAUUGAUAGUUGAAUGGAGGAAUAGGUUGUGGUUUUGUCACACAAUGGAAUACCUCAAUGUGUGAUGCUGAGGUUUGGGAAACGAUUGAUCCCGUCACCCAGGUACUGAGCAUAGUGCCCAAUAGUUAGUAUAUGAACCCUUGGCCCCACUCUCUCCCUCCCUUUUUAGUAGUCCGUAGUGUCUAUUGUUGAUAUCUCUAUGUCCAUGAGUGCUGCAGGUUUAGCUCCCACUUGUAAGUAAGAGCAUGUAGUAUUUGAUUUUCAAUUCCUGCAUUAAUUCGCUUAGGAUAAUGGUCUCCAGCUGCAUCCAUAUUGCUGUAAAGGAUAUGACUUCAUUGUUUUUGUGGCUGCAUAGUAUUCCUAUGGUGCAUAUGUACCACAUAUUUUUAAAUCCAGUCCACCAUUGAUGGGCACCUGGUUGAUUCCAUGUUUUGGCUAUUGUGAAUAUGGCUGCAAUGAACAUAUGAGUAUAUGUGUCUUUUUGGUAGAACAAUUUAUUUUCUUUUGGGUAUAUACCUAGUAAUAGGGUUGUGGGUUGAAUGGUAAUUCCGUUUUUAGCUCUUUGAGAAAUCUCCAAACUGCUUUCCACAGUGGCUAAAAUAAUUUACACUCCCACCAACAGUGUGUAAGCAUUCCCGUUUCUCUGCAGCCUCACCAGCAUCUUUUGUUUUUUGGCUUUUUGAUAGUAGCCAUUCUGACUGGUGUGAGAUGGUAUC